rnacentral:rRNA from 1 species
GAUGAACGCUGGCGGCGUGCCUAAUACAUGCAAGUCGAGCGAACAGAUGAGGAGCUUGCUCCUCUGACGUUAGCGGCGGACGGGUGAGUAACACGUGGAUAACCUACCUAUAAGACUGGGAUAACUUCGGGAAACCGGAGCUAAUACCGGAUAAUAUAUUGAACCGCAUGGUUCAAUAGUGAAAGACGGUUUUGCUGUCACUUAUAGAUGGAUCCGCGCCGCAUUAGCUAGUUGGUAAGGUAACGGCUUACCAAGGCGACGAUGCGUAGCCGACCUGAGAGGGUGAUCGGCCACACUGGAACUGAGACACGGUCCAGACUCCUACGGGAGGGAGCAGUAGGGAAUCUUCCGCAAUGGGCGAAAGCCUGACGGAGCAACGCCGCGUGAGUGAUGAAGGUCUUCGGAUCGUAAAACUCUGUUAUUAGGGAAGAACAAAUGGUUAAGUAACUAUGCACGUCUUGACGGUACCUAAUCAGAAAGCCACGGCUAACUACGUG